rnacentral:lncRNA from 1 species
ACUACUUCAAGGUGAUCAUCAGACAACUGACCAGAAAAGAUGAAGGGACCUACUGGUGUGGAGUGGACAAACCUACUAUACCUGACAGUUAUACCAAGGUAGAGCUGGAUGUGAAGAAGGGUGAGAGACUUUUACUUUAACCUUAUAAAAUGAAUUUAGCUACAUAUGUUCUUACAUGAUCAGUACCACUAGUCAAUGAAGUCAGUCUAUAGUAUUAGACUAAGGUUGUGUUGUGUGUUUCUAUUGACAGAUGACUGCUGUGAGAAGUCAGUCUAUAGUAUUAGACUAAGGUUGUGUUGUGUGUUUCUAUUGACAGAUGACUGCUGUGAGAAGUCAGUCUAUAGUAUUAGACUAAGGUUGUGAUGUGUGUUUCUAUUGACAGAUGACUGCUGUGAGAAGUCAGUCUAUAGUAUUAGACUAAG